rnacentral:rRNA from 1 species
GACGAACGCUGGCGGCGUGCUUAACACAUGCAAGUCGAACGGUGAAGCGCCUUCCUUUUUGGUGGGUGUGGAUGAGUGGCGAACGGGUGAGUAACACGUGAGUAACCUGCCCCCUUCUUCUGGAUAACCGCAUGAAAGUGUGGCUAAUACGGGAUAUUCUGGGUCUGUCGCAUGAUGGGUCUGGGAAAGAUAUUGUUUCGGUGGGGGAUGGGCUCGCGGCCUAUCAGCUUGUUGGUGGGGUGAUGGCCUACCAAGGCGGUGACGGGUAGCCGGCCUGAGAGGGUGGACGGUCACACUGGGACAGAGACACGGCCCAGACUCCUACGGGAGGCAGCAGUGGGGAAUAUUGCACAAUGGGCGCAAGCCUGAUGCAGCGACGCCGCGUGAGGGAUGGAGGCCUUCGGGUUGUGAACCUCUUUCGCCAGUGAGGCAGGCCUGCCUCGUUUGUGGGUGGGUUGACGGUAGCUGGAUAAGAAGCGCCGGCUAACUACGUG